rnacentral:rRNA from 1 species
GAUGAACGCUGGCGGCGUGCCUAAUACAUGCAAGUCGAGCGAACGGACGAGAAGCUCGCUUCCUUGCUGUUAGCGGCGGACGGGCGAGUAACACGUGGAUAAGCAACUAAUAUGACUGGGAUAAUAUCGUGAAAACGGAGAUACUAAUGGAUAAUACUAUGAACCGCAUGGUUCAAAAGUGAUUGACGGUCUUGCCGACUCUUAUAGCUGGAUCCGCGCUGCAUUAGCUAGUUGGUAAGGUAACGGCUAACCAAGGCAACGAUGCAUAGCCGACCUGAGAGGGUGAUCGGCCACACUGGAACUGAGACACGGUCCAGACUCCUACGGGAGGCAGCAGUAGGGAAUCUUCGGCAAUGGGCGAAAGCCUGACGGAGCAACGCCGCGUGAGUGAUGAAGGUCUUCGGAUCGUAAAACUCUUUUAUUGGGAAAGAACAUAAGUAGAUGUAACUGUGCACAUCUUGACGGUACCUAAACAGAAAGCCACGGCUAACUACGUG